rnacentral:rRNA from 1 species
UACGUAGGGUGCGAGCGUUAAUCGGAAUUACUGGGCGUAAAGCGUGCGCAGGCGGUUUGUUAAGACAGAUGUGAAAUCCCCGGGCUUAACCUGGGAACUGCAUUUGUGACUGGCAAGCUAGAGUAUGGCAGAGGGGGGGUAGAAUUCCACGUGUAGCAGUGAAAUGCGUAGAGAUGUGGAGGAAUACCGAUGGCGAAGGCAGCCCCCCUGGGCCAAUACUGACGCUCAUGCACGAAAGCGUGGGGAGCA